rnacentral:rRNA from 1 species
CUGGCGGCGUGCUUAACACAUGCAAGUCGAACGGGAAGGCCCUGCUUUUGUGGGGUGCUCGAGUGGCGAACGGGUGAGUAACACGUGAGUAACCUGCCCUUGACUUUGGGAUAACUUCAGGAAACUGGGGCUAAUACCGGAUAGGAGCUCCUGCUGCAUGGUGGGGGUUGGAAAGUUUCGGCGGUUGGGGAUGGACUCGCGGCUUAUCAGCUUGUUGGUGGGGUAGUGGCUUACCAAGGCUUUGACGGGUAGCCGGCCUGAGAGGGUGACCGGCCACAUUGGGACUGAGAUACGGCCCAGACUCCUACGGGAGGCAGCAGUGGGGAAUAUUGCACAAUGGGCGGAAGCCUGAUGCAGCAACGCCGCGUGCGGGAUGACGGCCUUCGGGUUGUAAACCGCUUUCGCCUGUGACGAAGCGUGAGUGACGGUAAUGGGUAAAGAAGCACCGGCUAACUACGUGCCAGCAGCCGCGGUGAUACGUAGGGUGCGAGCGUUGUCCGGAUUUAUUGGGCGUAAAGGGCUCGUAGGUGGUUGAUCGCGUCGGAAGUGUAAUCUUGGGGCUUAACCCUGAGCGUGCUUUCGAUACGGGUUGACUUGAGGAAGGUAGGGGAGGAUGGAAUUCCUGGUGGAGCGGUGGAAUGCGCAGAUAUCAGGAGGAACACCAGUGGCGAAGGCGGUUCUCUGGGCCUUUCCUGACGCUGAGGAGCGAAAGCGUGGGGAGCGAACAGGCUUAGAUACCCCUGGUAGUCCACGCUGUAAACGGUGGGUACUAGGUGUGGGGUCCAUUCCACGGGUUCCGUGCCGUAGCUAACGCUUUAAGUACCCCGCCUGGGGAGUACGGCCGCAAGGCUAAAACUCAAAGGAAUUGACGGGGCCCCGCACAAGCGGCGGAGCAUGCGGAUUAAUUCGAUGCAACGCGUAGAACCUUACCUGGGUUUGACAUGGAUCGGGAGUGCUCAGAGAUGGGUGUGCCUCUUUUGGGGUCGGUUCACAGGUGGUGCAUGGCUGUCGUCAGCUCGUGUCGUGAGAUGUUGGGUUAAGUCCCGCAACGAGCGCAACCCUUGUUCACUGUUGCCUGCACGUUAUGGUGGGGACUCAGUGGAGACCGCCGGGGUCAACUCGGAGGAAGGUGGGGAUGACGUCAAGUCAUCAUGCCCCUUAUGUCCAGGGCUUCACGCAUGCUACAAUGGCUGGUACAGAGAGUGGCGAGCCUGUGAGGGUGAGCGAAUCUCGGAAAGCCGGUCUCAGUUCGGAUUGGGGUCUGCAACUCGACCUCAUGAAGUCGGAGUCGCUAGUAAUCGCAGAUCAGCAACGCUGCGGUGAAUACGUUCCCGGGGCUUGUACACACCGCCCGUCAAGUCAUGAAAGUUGGUAACACCCGAAGCCGGUGGCCUAACCGUUGUGGGGGAGCCGUCGAAGGUGGGACUGGUGAUUAGGACUA